AUUGGAACAUGGCGUCAUAGAGGGUGAGAAUCCCGUAUGUGACUGUGGCUCGAGCCCAUGUGAAGCCUCUUCGACGAGUCGAGUUGUUUGGGAAUGCAGCUCAAAAUGGGUGGUAAAUUUCAUCUAAAGCUAAAUACUGGCUGGAGACCGAUAGCGCACAAGUAGAGUGAUCGAAAGAUGAAAAGCACUUUGGAAAGAGAGUCAAACAGUACGUGAAAUUGUUGAAAGGGAAGCGCUUGCAACCAGACCUGUCCGUAGGUGAUCAGCCGCUGUUCUCAGUGGUGCACUCGCUCUACGAUCAGGCCAGCAUCGGUUCUGGCGGCCGGAUAAAGGCCUUGGGAAUGUAGCUCCCUCCGGGGAGUCUUAUAGCCCUCGGUGCAAUGCGGCCAGCCGGGACCGAGGACCGCGCUUCGGCUAGGAUGCUGGCGUAAUGGUUGUAAGCGACCCGUCUUGAAACACGGACCAAGGAGUCUACCAUCUACGCGAGUGUUUGGGUGUUAAACCCAUGCGCGGAAUGAAA
rnacentral:rRNA from 1 species